rnacentral:rRNA from 1 species
GGCUCAGGAUGAACGCUGGCAGUGUGCCUUAGGCAUGCAAGUCGAACGGUGAGUUUUGAGCUCGCAAGAGCUUGAAACAAGCAGUGGCAGACGGGUGAGUACAAAGUAGGAAUCUACCUCUUAGUGGGGAAUAGCUCGCCGAAAGGCGGGGUAAUACCGCAUAAGUUCGCAAGAAGAAAGGGCUUAACCGCCCGCUGAGAGAUGAGCCUGCUCGCUAUCAGCUAGUUGGUAAGGUAACGGCUUACCAAGGCUAUGACGGCUAGGGGGCGUGAGAGCGUGGCCCCCCACAAGGUUACUGAGAUACGGAGCCUACACCUACGGGUGGCAGCAACCGGGAAUUUUGCGCAAUGGACGAAAGUCUGACGCAGCGACACUGCGUGCGGGAUGAAGGCCUUCGGGUUGUAAACCGCUGUGAUAGGGAAUGAACACAAUGACAGUACCCUAUUAGAAAGCACCUGCUAACCACGUGCCAGAAGCCUCGGUAAUACGUGGGGUGCAAGCGUUAUCCGGAUUCACUGGGCGUAAAGAGUAUCGUAGGCGGUUUGUUAAGUGGCGGGUUAAAGCCUUCAGCUCAACUGAUGGAUGCCCGUCAAACUGGCUAACUAGUGGAGAUUCGGGGAUAUCGGAAUUCUUAGUGGAGGAGUGAAAUCCGUUGAUAUUAAGAAGAACACCAAUGGCGAAGGCAGAUAUCUAGGGUCUUCCAGACGCUGAUGAACGAAAGCUAGGGGAGCGAAAGGGAUUAGAGACCCCUGUAGUCCUAGCCGUAAACGAUGAACACUAGCUAUUUCCGCAAGGGAGUGGCGUAAGCUAACGCGUUAAGUGUUCCGCCUGGGGAGUACGACCGCAAGGUUAAAACUCAAAG